UACAGAGGUCUCAAGCGUUGGUCGGAUUCAUUGGGCGUAAAGGGUGCGUAGGCGGCGCGGUAAGUCGGGUGUGAAAUCUCGGAGCUUAACUCCGAAACUGCAUUCGAUACUGCCGUGCUUGAGGACUGGAGAGGAGACUGGAAUUUACGGUGUAGCGGUGAAAUGCGUAGAUAUCGUAAGGAAGACCAGUGGCGAAGGCGGGUCUCUGGACAGUUCCUGACGCUGAGGCACGAAGGCCAGGGGAGCAAACGGG
rnacentral:rRNA from 1 species